rnacentral:rRNA from 1 species
AUUGAACGCUGGCGGCAGGCUUAACACAUGCAAGUCGAGCGGAGAUGAGGUGCUUGCACCUUAUCUUAGCGGCGGACGGGUGAGUAAUGCUUAGGAAUCUGCCUAUUAGUGGGGGACAACAUUCCGAAAGGAAUGCUAAUACCGCAUACGUCCUACGGGAGAAAGCAGGGGAUCUUCUGACCUUGCGCUAAUAGAUGAGCCUAAGUCGGAUUAGCUAGUUGGUGGGGUAAAGGCCUACCAAGGCGACGAUCUGUAGCGGGUCUGAGAGGAUGAUCCGCCACACUGGGACUGGGACACGGCCCAGACUCCUACGGGAGGUAGCAGUGGGGAAUAUUGGACAAUGGGGGGAACCCUGAUCCAGCCAUGCCGCGUGUGUGAAGAAGGCCUUAUGGUUGUAAAGCACUUUAAGCGAGGAGGAGGCUACUGAGACUAAUACUCUUGGAUAGUGGACGUUACUCGCAGAAUAAGCACCGGCUAACUCUGUGCCAGCCGCCGCCGUAAGAC